rnacentral:rRNA from 1 species
ACGAACGCUGGCGGCGUGCCUAAAACAUGCAAGUCGUACGAGUGACUUCGGUCACGAGUGGCAAACGGCUGAGUAACGCGUGGGUGACCUGCCUCUAAGUGGGGAAUAACUGCCCGAAAGGGUGGCUAAUACCGCAUGUGAUGGAUGAUGCAUUUCAUCCAUUAAAGCCGCAAGGCGCUUGGAGAGGGGCCCGCGUCCGAUUAGCUUGUUGGUGGGGUAACGGCCUACCAAGGCUUCGAUCGGUAGCUGGUCUGAGAGGAUGAUCAGCCAGACUGGGACUGCGACACGGCCCAGACUCCUACGGGAGGCAGCAGUUAGGAAUUUUGGGCAAUGGGCGAAAGCCUGACCCAGCAACGCCGCGUGGGUGAUGACGGCCUUCGGGUUGUAAAGCCCUUUUUCAGGGGAAGAUAAUGACGGUACCCUGAGAAUAAGCCCCGGCUAACUACGU